GACGAACCGUGCGAACGUUGCUCGGAAUCACUGGGCGUAAAGCGCACGUAGGCGGAUCUUUAAGUCAGGGGUGAAAUCCCAAGGCUCAACCUUGGAACUGCCUUCGAUACUGCGGGUCUCGAGUCCGGGAGAGGUGAGUGGAAUUCCUAGUGUAGAGGUGAAAUUCGUAGAUAUUAGGAAGAACACCAGUGGCGAAGGCGGCUCACUGGCCCGGUACUGACGCUGAGGCGCGAAAGCGUGGGGAGCAAACAGG
rnacentral:rRNA from 1 species